UGUGACAUACCACUUGUUGCCUCGGCGGAUCAGCCCGCUCCCGGUAAAACGGGACGGCCCGCCAGAGGACCCCUAAACUCUGUUUCUAUAUGUAACUUCUGAGUAAAACCAUAAAUAAAUCAAAACUUUCAACAACGGAUCUCUUGGUUCUGGCAUCGAUGAAGAACGCAGCAAAAUGCGAUAAGUAAUGUGAAUUGCAGAAUUCAGUGAAUCAUCGAAUCUUUGAACGCACAUUGCGCCCGCCAGUAUUCUGGCGGGCAUGCCUGUUCGAGCGUCAUUUCAACCCUCAAGCACAGCUUGGUGUUGGGACUCGCGUUAAUUCGCGUUCCUCAAAUUGAUUGGCGGUCACGUCGAGCUUCCAUAGCGUAGUAGUAAAACCCUCGUUACUGGUAAUCGUCGCGGCCACGCCGUUAAACCCCAACUUCUGAAUGUUGACCUCGGAUCAGGUAGGAAUACCCGCUGAACUUAAGCAUAUCAAA
rnacentral:rRNA from 1 species